rnacentral:misc_RNA from 1 species
UUGAAUAACUUGGUGUUGAGCUGGCCCUAUUGGGCAUGUGCUUGCAUCAUAUUAUUUUAUCUAUCUCUUGUGCACCUUUUGUAGUCUUUGAAGCGUUUCGCAGUCAAAUGCGGUUUUGGGGCCUGGGCUUUGCUGCCCUUUCCCCUGUUUGCUUCAAAGGCUAUGUUUUUAUACACACUAUUGAAGUUACAGAAUGUCUCUUAUUGACUUUCGAGUCAGUAAAUCUAUA